rnacentral:rRNA from 1 species
UACGUAGGGGGCAAGCGUUGUCCGGAAUCAUUGGGCGUAAAGAGCGUGUAGGCGGUCCGGUCAGUCCGCUGUGAAAGUCAAGGGCUCAACCCUUGAAUGCCGGCGGAAACUACCGGGCUAGAGUCCGGAAGAGGCAAGUGGAAUUCCCGGUGUAGCGGUGAAAUGCGCAGAUAUCGGGGAGGAACACCUAUGGCGGAAGGCGGCUCUCUGGGACGGGUACUGACGCUGAGACGCGAAAAGCGUGGGGAGGCGAACGGG